CAUGUCGUGGAAACUUGCAGUAGGGUAAUUGAAUUUAGUGAGAAAAGCAUUAAAAAGGCUGAAGAAUGUGCUGCUAAGUGGAAGAAAGCCUUGAAAGCAAAGUCGCUGCUGAGGUGCUGGAACACAAAGAAGACAGCCAGGAAUCAACUCUAACUGAAAGGAGGCAGCAGUGUAUCCCGGGUUAUCAUGCAGAGUGCUAUCAUCACUUCUGCAACAUAACAACAAUAAAUCGAGCGAUAGCAAAGUCUAGAAGGAAGAAAGUUCAAGACGCUGAAAAGCCUGAAGCAGAUGAAUCACCUCAAGAGGCAGUUCCUGAUGGUGAAGCAGAUGAGCCGGCCCCAAAGAGACUGCUUCGAUCCAUGACAAGUCAUAGUCAACAAACCGCAACUGUCGAGCACACUGAACGUAGGCAUGUCCUACCAGCGCAUUGCAUCAUU